GGUUAAGUGACUAAGCGUACACGGUGGAUGCCUUGGCAGUCAGAGGCGAUGAAGGACGUAGUAACUUGCGAUAAGCGUAGAUGAGGCAGUAACAGCCACUUGAGUCUACGAUUUCCGAAUGGGGAAACCCACUGGCAUAAGCCAGUAUCAUUGAGUGAAUACAUAGCUCAAUGAAGCGAACCGGGAGAACUGAAACAUCUAAGUACCCCGAGGAAAAGAAAUCAACCGAGAUUCCGAAAGUAGCGGCGAGCGAAAUUGGAUUAGCCCUUAAGCUUUACAUGUGUUAGACGAACGGUCUGGAAAGUCCGACGAUACAGGGUGAUAGUCCCGUAGUUGACGAUGCAUGUUCAGUGAAAUCGAGUAGGGCGGGACACGUGUUAUCCUGUCUGAAUAUGGGGGGACCAUCCUCCAAGGCUAAAUACUCCUGACUGACCGAUAGUGAACCAGUACCGUGAGGGAAAGGCGAAAAGAACCCCUGUGAGGGGAGUGAAAUAGAACCUGAAACCGUGUACGUACAAGCAGUAGGAGCACCUUCGUGGUGUGACUGCGUACCUUUUGUAUAAUGGGUCAGCGACUUAUAUUCAGUGGCAAGGUUAACCAUCUAGGGGAGCCGUAGGGAAACCGAGUCUUAACUGGGCGCCAUAGUCUCUGGAUAUAGACCCGAAACCGAGUGAUCUAGCCAUGGGCAGGUUGAAGGUUGAGUAACAUCAACUGGAGGACCGAACCGACUAAUGUUGAAAAAUUAGCGGAUGACUUGUGGCUAGGGGUGAAAGGCCAAUCAAACUCGGAGAUAGCUGGUUCUCCCCGAAAGCUAUUUAGGUAGCGCCUCGGACGAAUACUACUGGGGGUAGAGCACUGUUAAGGCUAGGGGGUCAUCCCGACUUACCAACCCUUUGCAAACUCCGAAUACCAGUAAGUACUAUCCGGGAGACACACGGCGGGUGCUAACGUCCGUCGUGGAGAGGGAAACAACCCAGACCGCCAGCUAAGGUCCCAAAUUACAGCUAAGUGGGAAACGAUGUGGGAAGGCUUAGACAGCUAGGAUGUUGGCUUAGAAGCAGCCAUCAUUUAAAGAAAGCGUAAUAGCUCACUAGUCGAGUCGGCCUGCGCGGAAGAUGUAACGGGGCUAAGUUGUAAACCGAAGCUGCGGCAAUGUUCUAUGAACAUUGGGUAGGGGAGCGUUCUGUAAGCCGUUGAAGGUGUGUUGUAAAGCAUGCUGGAGGUAUCAGAAGUGCGAAUGCUGACAUGAGUAACGACAAGGGGGGUGAAAAACCUCCCCGCCGGAAGACCAAGGGUUCCUGUCCAACGUUAAUCGGGGCAGGGUAAGUCGACCCCUAAGGCGAGGCUGAAAAGCGUAGUCGAUGGGAAACGGGUUAAUAUUCCCGUACUUCUUACAAUUGCGAUGGGGGGACGGAGAAGGCUAGGUGGGCCUGGCGACGGUUGUCCAGGUUCAAGUGCGUAGGCUGAGUGUUUAGGUAAAUCCGGA
rnacentral:rRNA from 1 species